GACCACGGAGCGUUUGGAAAGAUGG
rnacentral:piRNA from 1 species